rnacentral:rRNA from 1 species
UGGGGAAACCCAGUGUGUUUCGACACACUAUCAUUAACUGAAUCCAUAGGUUAAUGAGGCGAACCGGGGGAACUGAAACAUCUAAGUACCCCGAGGAAAAGAAAUCAACCGAGAUUCCCCCAGUAGCGGCGAGCGAACGGGGAGGAGCCCAGAGCCUGAAUCAGUGUGUGUGUUAGUGGAAGCGUCUGGAAAGGCGCGCGAUACAGGGUGACAGCCCCGUACACAAAAAUGCACAUAUUGUGAGCUCGAUGAGUAGGGCGGGACACGUGGUAUCCUGUCUGAAUAUGGGGGGACCAUCCUCCAAGGCUAAAUACUCCUGACUGACCGAUAGUGAACCAGUACCGUGAGGGAAAGGCGAAAAGAACCCCGGCGAGGGGAGUGAAAAAGAACCUGAAACCGUGUACGUACAAGCAGUGGGAGCCUCUUUAUGGGGUGACUGCGUACCUUUUGUAUAAUGGGUCAGCGACUUAUAUUCUGUAGCAAGGUUAACCGAAUAGGGGAGCCGAAGGGAAACCGAGUCUUAACUGGGCGUUAAGUUGCAGGGUAUAGACCCGAAACCCGGUGAUCUAGCCAUGGGCAGGUUGAAGGUUGGGUAACACUAACUGGAGGACCGAACCGACUAAUGUUGAAAAAUUAGCGGAUGACUUGUGGCUGGGGGUGAAAGGCCAAUCAAACCGGGAGAUAGCUGGUUCUCCCCGAAAGCUAUUUAGGUAGCGCCUCGUGAAUUCAUCUCCGGGGGUAGAGCACUGUUUCGGCAAGGGGGUCAUCCCGACUUACCAACCCGAUGCAAACUGCGAAUACCGGAGAAUGUUAUCACGGGAGACACACGGCGGGUGCUAACGUCCGUCGUGAAGAGGGAAACAACCCAGACCGCCAGCUAAGGUCCCAAAGUCAUGGUUAAGUGGGAAACGAUGUGGGAAGGCCCAGACAGCCAGGAUGUUGGCUUAGAAGCAGCCAUCAUUUAAAGAAAGCGUAAUAGCUCACUGGUCGAGUCGGCCUGCGCGGAAGAUGUAACGGGGCUAAACCAUGCACCGAAGCUGCGGCAGCGACACUAUGUGUUGUUGGGUAGGGGAGCGUUCUGUAAGCCUGUGAAGGUGGCCUGUGAGGGUUGCUGGAGGUAUCAGAAGUGCGAAUGCUGACAUAAGUAACGAUAAAGCGGGUGAAAAGCCCGCUCGCCGGAAGACCAAGGGUUCCUGUCCAACGUUAAUCGGGGCAGGGUGAGUCGACCCCUAAGGCGAGGCCGAAAGGCGUAGUCGAUGGGAAACAGGUUAAUAUUCCUGUACUUGGUGUUACUGCGAAGGGGGGACGGAGAAGGCUAUGUUGGCCGGGCGACGGUUGUCCCGGUUUAAGCGUGUAGGCUGGUUUUCCAGGCAAAUCCGGAAAACCAAGGCUGAGGCGUGAUGACGAGGCACUACGGUGCUGAAGCGACAAAUGCCCUGCUUCCAGGAAAAGCCUCUAAGCAUCAGGUAACAUCAAAUCGUACCCCAAACCGACACAGGUGGUCAGGUAGAGAAUACCAAGGCGCUUGAGAGAACUCGGGUGAAGGAACUAGGCAAAAUGGUGCCGUAACUUCGGGAGAAGGCACGCUGAUAUGUAGGUGAAGCGACUUGCUCGUGGAGCUGAAAUCAGUCGAAGAUACCAGCUGGCUGCAACUGUUUAUUAAAAACACAGCACUGUGCAAACACGAAA